UGAAGUUGGCAAAUACCAGAGGCUUUAUGCUGAUUUGAUGUGAAACUUUGCACGAAUUAACAAUCCAAAGCGUCAAUCUGCAUGCACCGCAAACCACAUCUUUGACAAACAGAUGUGAUUUGUGUCUACAAAGAUAGGUUUUUCUAUCCCAAAAUAAAGUUUCGAUACCAGUAAUAAAUGUUUCAACGCGGCUGUUCGACACAAAUCAAUGGAGAGGCAGCUUAGGUCAAAUAGGUUACCGGUAUGUUUCUGGCCACGUUUAAAGAGGGCCGGUCAAAGGAAAAUACAUUUAAUGUUUUAAAGGAAAAUCAGUACGGGGGGACAGCAACCUAAAGUGGAUUUUCAGACGUAUGCACAGCAUUCAGCAGCCAAAGUAACACAACCACCAGCCCCCAGAUUAAUUAGUGAUGUUAUUUUUUUUUCUGUCUUAGAUGAAGGAACCUCUCACCUUCUCCGCUCUAAACGACCUUGUUUAGUUCCCCCACGAACAAGGGCACGCAAGAGACACACAGCGAAGCGAUAUUCGAUACGCGCCUGAUCAGUGGUUACUUGGUCUGCCCAACACACAAAUUCGUCCGUGCAUUCCUCACUUUAUUGUCCUUUUCGUACUGCACUUGUUUUCUAUUCUGCACAAGAACAAUAUCACCGUGGAGCAAGUUCGCCCAUAUUUUGAAGCGCUUGCCAACCAGAAAGUAACAGGAAGGUGUUUCCUGUUAGUUGGACCAUCGCUUUUAGCACUCUGAUAUCACUCCGCCAUCUCCUCUCCUAUUGGAUGCGCCUUUUGGCAUCACGGUGGCACUGCUCUCAAAUGUAAAAAUUCUUACAUAUAAAUAGCACAUAUAAAAAUGUGGAUUAAAUAUGGGUUCCAAGCCAAAAAAAAAACUACGAGUUCAGAUAUGGGGAUAUCAAAGACAAACGGUUGCUUUUUUUGGGACUGCAGUGUCGACAUUGGAGACGUCAGGGGCCUCCAUGUUUGGGUUUACAGAAAACCCACACGCGCUGAGCAAUAUUUUUUGACUCACAUCACCCACUGGAACACAAAGUGGGUAUUACUGGAACCUAAAGUCUCAGACUGAUCAUGUUCCUACCAGCCCAGUGGCCAAAGACAAAGAACUGAGGCACCUGAGGCAGGCCCUCAAAACCUGUGGCUAUGACCAGAAAGUCAUUUCUAAAAAGUGUAUCGAGUUCCACAAGGAACAAGCGCAAGGUGGAUGAAGAAGAAAAGAAUGAAACGUCUUCUAAGACAACCUGAACAGUCCAGUUUACAGGAGAGGCAAUGCUUGGAGAAUGAAAUUAACUGGACGAAUGAAAAUAUUCACAGGCAUCUUUAUUCAGUAAUAUAUUUUGAAAUUUGAUAUGUAUUAACCUAAAAUUAAACACUAACAACGGUGAUUUAUGAUUCAGUGCGUGAUCGAAAAUCAGAAUCAUGAAGGUGAAGCAUUUUCGUUUGAUUCUUGCCAAUUAUUCCACACAACAAGCAUGUUGUUAACAUUUCAAGAGAUUUUUUUCAAUAAAUG